UUUAUUAUUUAUUUAUUUAUAUAUUUUAAAAGAAACUCUUAUAUACUAUUUAGUGGAAUACUCUGUGGGAUCAAAGAAAAAGUGGCUUAUCUAGGACUUUAGAUGUAGAAGCACAUCAGCAAAAAUUUGAAAAACAAAAGCCAAAUAAAACUACGCAGUGUGAGAAUUGGUUCGUUCCUUUGUUAACCAGGAGUGAACCAGGACACUUGCCCAAGGGAUGUUCUUCUGCCCAUGUGUCAGGCCUGGGAGGGUGCUAAGGUAGAUGAUUCCACAGACCUAAUCUCAGCAGAGACUGGGGUCAGGUGGUCAUUCAGCAUGAAGUGAAAGAACAGCAUCCUUGGCAGCAAAGUUUUUACAAAACCAACUUAAGCAAUUAGCAAUAAGGUGUUGUAAAAGUAUUUGAAUCUAUGGCAACAUCCUUGAAAAAAUUAGUGAAGAAGAUUCCUGCAUGUGGAGGGCAAGCACUGUAUCUUUGUGUAGCACCGAGUGCAUCAUCAGCACUACAUAACUGGCAGCUAUUGUUUUAUACAUACAUUUCUUUUAUCUAAAGCUCAGCUAUUGGGGCAGCCCCGGUGGCUCAGCGAUUUAGUGCUGCCUUCAGCCCAAGGUGUGAUCCUGGAGACCUGGGAUCGAGUCCCCCAUCAGGCUCCCUGCAUGGAGCCUGCUUCUCCCCUUGCCUGUGUCUCUGCCUCUCUCUCUCUCUCUCUCUCUGUGUCUCUCAUGAAUAAAUAAAAUCUUAAAAAAAAAUCAGCUAUUUGUCUCAGUUGCAAGGCAAAAUGAAUAUACAUUUGUACUGCUCAUUUCCUAAACCAUCAUCUAAUGAAGACAAAGUCCCUAUAGAAAACUCUGAAUAACCAGCACCGUAUAAUAAUUCCUCCAUAAAUAUUUGGUCAAGUUGAAUAGGAUUUUUUAGAAGCCAAACCCCUUAACAGCCUCAACCUCUCAGAAAUUCGGGGGGGGGGGGGGAGUCUGAAAAUGAGUACAGUCACCAUAAAAUCCCUCCAUUCAAGCCAGACUUUUGUGUCUCAUCUGUACCUUUCCUGAUUUGCCUGGCAUUCUGAUAUUAGUCAUAUAGUCCUUAGAAUGGAUUCUUUAUUUCCUGGGCACAGCAGAUGGGAAGCAAAGAUCUAAAUGAUGCUAGGGGACUGUGGCAAAGGACGAAACAGCAGCUGAUGACCUAAUGGGUAAAAUUCACAAGCACGUCCCACCAGGCAGAGGGACACCUAUUAGCUUGUGUGACACAAGGAAACAUUAAAUAACACAUACCACUUUUUUUAAAUAAGCAGGGAAUUGUGUAAUAUUUUAGAGAACCAUUGCUCUCAAACAAUGGAUGCCCUGGAGGCAACAACUUUCAGUUAUUUAGAAAAAACCACUUAGAUGUAAUUAUUCAUCAUUAUUAUUCUUAUUAGUUAAUAACACUCCUGUGCUGAUUUUUAAACUCCUCCCCUUCCACGUUCUUCUUAACCGUCUCUCUCCUUUCUUUCCCCAACACUCCUCUAGCUUCCAAACCAGGGGACUGACUCAUCCCGGCUCGCCCAGAACGUUCCCAGUUUUAGCACUGUGAGCCCUGCAUCGGGGGAAACCCCUCUGUCCCGGCCAAACCAGGACAGUUGGUCACCCUACUCCAGAAGCGGGCACUGUGAGAGUAUUAUUGCACUGGUGCUUUGCACGUAUUACCUUGUACUCAUGCAAUUUUUAAAGUCGUGUUCACAAUCCUCCUAUAGUGGCUGAAAUCAUCAGGUUCCCUAGAGUCCUUGACCUGAACUCUUUUGAAAAUUUAAAAAAAAAAAAAAAAAAGGGCUCUGGCUUCUUGAAAUAUGCUGAUCAUGGACUUGGUUCUUCACUUAACGUGGGUAGAGCUAGCCUUCAUUUAUUUAGGUAUUUGUUUAUGAAAUUUGGGAAGGAAAACUGAUGGACUUAAUCUGUUCUGCCAGUUUUAAGAUGGAAACUUUGAGUGGGAAAUUUGUUUUUGAUUCUUCGCAGGUGUGAUCUGGGUUGCUGCUUCAGAAGGCCAGUAUCUGGAGGUUUUGUCCAACUGUGACUGAAAAGAAGCCUAAGCAGGACAAUGAGAUCCCACCUCUACUUUUUCUUUUUGCAUAUAUAUUUAAUAACUUUUUUUUUAAAGUAAAGGUGAGGCCCAUAUAGCAUUCAACUCACUGCCUGGAGGUACAAUUAUAUAUUUUGCUCAGUGGGACCAAUCCCCAAGGAGAUCCUGUUACACCUUUGGCUCCCUACAGUGGGAAGAGAGCUGAAGUGUAUGACGUGGUAGGGGGCCUGUGACCUGGUUAGUAAAGGAGCUUUGUGGUUGCACCUGGAGACAGGACUAAGCAAUUCUCAGCUAAUUGAAAUUAAUCUGAAGUUUGAAAUUUACCCAAAUCCCACAAUCAGUGCUUAAAUUUGUCCAGUCUACCUUUUGUGAGUUGUUCCCUCUCUUUAAGAACUGGAUGAGAAAUGGAGGAGCAGGUUUUGAAGGAGGUCGAAAUCCUGGCCUGAUGUGUCCCGUGUGAAGAAAAAGAAUGCAUUUUCAUCAUGUAGGAAAAUAAAAACUAAGAAGCCAUGGGGUAAAUGAUGGGCUUUUACCAAGAAUGCUUCUAAAUGGAAAGCAGAGUAUUGAUAAAAAGCAAAGCCCAGGGGUGCCUGGGUGCCCCGUUAUAAGUAAAGUUUUAUUGAAACACAGCCACACCAUUUGUUUUCAUAUUAUCAGUGAUUGCUUUUGCACUACAAGGGCACAGUUGAGACAGACUCUCUGUUCUGCAGAGCCAAACAUAUUUACCAUCUGACCCUCCACUUUUACCAAUUCCCGACUCACAGUACAAGGAGAAUAAUAUCCUAAUCGCGUGGGGGUGGGUGGGUUGAGAUAACAUAUCAGGCGGGACCCUAUACAAGAUUGGGCUCCGUAAAGGAUGACUAUUAUCAUUAAACAGAGACUCAAAAUCUAAAGCUUAUCAUAUGUCUUAUGAUCAGUUUUGUUUGCUUGCUUGUUUUCUACCCUCCGUCUACCUGCGCCACUCCAUCCAAAAACAAAAUAUGAGCUUGACUUCCUCUAACUUGGAUUAAGCUAAUCUGCCACCACACCACACCUCCCUGUUCAGGCAAUUUCUAUGGCUUUAUUCAUCCCAACUCUCAGCACUUAGGUCCUGUUGUUUGGGAGCAUUUGCUUCGCAUCUCAGCGAUGCUACAGUAACCAUACAGGAAGCCCGCAGAUUCUUGCACCACUUUGUCUUCAGUUUUUAAUUUUUUAUUUAGAAAUAAUAAAAUAAGACAUAAUAUAUAAAAAUAUGUACAAUCCAUGGUUUGUGCAGUACAAUAGGAAGACUUUUAGAUACAAAAAGACGGCAAACGGGAAAAUAAUGACUAUCACGAUUGUCAAAGGCCGGGGUUGUUCAACUCGCCAGAGCCCAGAGCUGAAACCCAACGUAACUAGAAAAGAGAUUCUAGUCAGGAGUGGGGAGGUGACUAUGCAACACUUUUAUUUUUCACCUUAACAUUAUUAGACAGAGCGAAGGAGAGCUCACUCUGCUCCUCAGAACAAGCUUUUUGCCUUUACUGAGUGGCUUAUUAUAAAACAUGAGCUGACAUUUGUCAUUUGCAAAGGUAACAUGAUUUGGGGGACAGAGCUCAUCAAAUAGACAAUAUAGGGAAGAAAGGAAGUGAAAAGAAGAAAUAAUGCAUUAAUAGUUUUUU
rnacentral:lncRNA from 1 species